rnacentral:rRNA from 1 species
AGUCAAGUAAUUAAGUGCAUGUGGUGGAUGCCUUGGCAGUCAGAGGCGAUGAAAGACGUGAUAGCCUGCGAAAAGCUCCGGGGAGGCGGCAAAUAUCCUUUGAUCCGGAGAUGUCUGAAUGGGGGAACCCACCUACUUUAAGGUAGGUAUUGCAACAUGAAUACAUAGUGUUGCAAGGCGAACGAGGGGAAGUGAAACAUCUCAGUACCCUUAGGAAAAGAAAUCAAUUGAGAUUCCCUCAGUAGCGGCGAGCGAACGGGGAUCAGCCCAUUAAGUUAUGUGUGUUUUAGUGGAACGCUCUGGGAAGUGCGAACGUAGAGGGUGAUAUUCCCGUACACGAAAGGGCACACAUAAUGAUGACGAGUAGGGCGAGGCACGUGAAACCUUGUCUGAAUAUGGGGGGACCAUCCUCCAAGGCUAAAUACUCCUGACUGACCGAUAGUGAACCAGUACCGUGAGGGAAAGGCGAAAAGAACCCCUGUGAGGGGAGUGAAAUAGAUCCUGAAACCGCAUGCAUACAAGCAGUGGGAGCACCUUCGUGGUGUGACUGCGUACCUUUUGUAUAAUGGGUCAGCGACUUAUAUUCAGUAGCGAGGUUAACCGUAUAGGGGAGCCGUAGAGAAAUCGAGUCUUAAUAGGGCGUUUAGUUGCUGGGUAUAGACCCGAAACCAGGCGAUCUAUCCAUGAGCAGGUUGAAGGUUGGGUAACACUAACUGGAGGACCGAACCCACUGUCGUUGAAAAGCCAGGGGAUGACUUGUGGAUAGGGGUGAAAGGCUAAUCAAGCCUGGUGAUAGCUGGUUCUCCCCGAAAGCUAUUUAGGUAGCGCCUCGGACGAAUACCAUAGGGGGUAGAGCACUGUUUCGGCUAGGGGGUCAUCCCGACUUACCAAACCGAUGCAAACUCCGAAUACCUAUGAGUACUAUCCGGGAGACAGACUGCGGGUGCUAACGUCCGUAGUCAAGAGGAAAACAAUCCAGACCGCCAGCUAAGGCCCCAAAAUCAUAGUUAAGUGGGAAACGAUGUGGGAAGGCAUAGACAGCUAGGAGGUUGGCUUAGAAGCAGCCACCCUUUAAAGAAAGCGUAAUAGCUCACUAGUCGAGUCGGCCUGCGCGGAAGAUGUAACGGGGCUAAAACUAUGUGCCGAAGCUGCGGAUGUAUACUUUGUAUACGUGGUAGGGGAGCGUUCUGUAAGCCGAUGAAGGUGUGUUGAGAAGCAUGCUGGAGGUAUCAGAAGUGCGAAUGCUGACGUGAGUAACGACAAAACGGGUGAAAAACCCGUUCGCCGAAAGACCAAGGGUUCCAGUCCAACGUUAAUCGGGGCUGGGUGAGUCGACCCCUAAGGCGAGGCCGAAAGGCGUAGUCGAUGGGAAAAUGGUUAAUAUUCCAUUACUUCUGUGUAAUGCGAUGAGAGGACGGAGAAGGCUAAAUCAGCCUGGCGUUGGUUGUCCAGGUGAAAGGAUGUAGGCAUGUAUCUUAGGCAAAUCCGGGGUACUCUAUGCUGAGAUCUGAUAGCAAGCUGUACUUGUACAGCGAAGUGGUUGAUGCCAUGCUUCCAGGAAAAGUCUCUAAGCUUCAGUUACACAGGAAUCGUACCCGAAACCGACACAGGUGGUCAGGUCGAGUAGACCAAGGCGCUUGAGAGAACUCUGCUGAAGGAACUAGGCAAAAUGGUACCGUAACUUCGGGAGAAGGUACGCUGUUGUUGGUGAUGGAACUCGCUUCCUGAGCUGACGACAGCCGCAGAAACCAGGCCGCUGCAACUGUUUAUUAAAAACAUAGCACUCUGCAAACACGAAAGUGGACGUAUAGGGUGUGAUGCCUGCCCGGUGCUGGAAGGUUAAUUGAUGGGGUUAGCGUAAGCGAAGCUCUUGAUCGAAGCCCCAGUAAACGGCGGCCGUAACUAUAACGGUCCUAAGGUAGCGAAAUUCCUUGUCGGGUAAGUUCCGACCUGCACGAAUGGCAUAAUGAUGGCGGCGCUGUCUCCAGCAGAGGCUCAGUGAAAUCGAAAUCGCUGUGAAGAUGCAGUGUACCCGCGGCUAGACGGAAAGACCCCGUGAACCUUUACUGCAGCUUGACACUGAACUUUGACCUUACUUGUGUAGGAUAGGUGGGAGGCUUUGAAGCUGGAACGCUAGUUCCAGUGGAGCCGUCCUUGAAAUACCACCCUGGUAAUGUUGAGGUUCUAACUCUGUCCCGUGAUCCGGGACGAGGACCGUGUCUGGUGGGUAGUUUGACUGGGGCGGUCUCCUCCUAAAGAGUAACGGAGGAGUACGAAGGUGCGCUCAGCGUGGUCGGAAAUCACGCGUAGAGUAUAAAGGCAAAAGCGCGCUUAACUGCGAGACCCACAAGUCGAGCAGGUACGAAAGUAGGUCUUAGUGAUCCGGUGGUUCUGUAUGGAAGGGCCAUCGCUCAACGGAUAAAAGGUACUCUGGGGAUAACAGGCUGAUACCGCCCAAGAGUUCAUAUCGACGGCGGUGUUUGGCACCUCGAUGUCGGCUCAUCUCAUCCUGGGGCUGAAGCAGGU